rnacentral:rRNA from 1 species
AGUAGCCGGCCUGAGAGGGUGACCGGCCACACUGGGACUGAGACACGGCCCAGACUCCUACGGGAGGCAGCAGUGGGGAAUAUUGCACAAUGGACGCAAGCCUGAUGCAGCAACGCCGCGUGAGGAACGACGGCCUUCGGGUUGUGAACCUCUUUUAGCAGGGAAGAAGCCUUCGGGUGACGGUACCUGCAGAAAAAGCGCCGGCUAACUACGUGCCAGCAGCCGCGGUAAUACGUAGGGCGCAAGCGUUAUCCGGAAUUAUUGGGCGUAAAGAGCUCGUAGGCGGUCUGUCGCGUCUGCUGUGAAAACCCGAGGCUCAACCUCGGGCCUGCAGUGGGUACGGGCAGACUAGAGUGCGGUAGGGGAGACUGGAAUUCCUGGUGUAGCGGUGGAAUGCGCAGAUAUCAGGAGGAACACCGAUGGCGAAGGCAGAUCUCUGGGCCGUAACUGACGCUGAGGAGCGAAAGGGUGGGGAGCAAACAGGCUUAGAUACCCUGGUAGUCCACCCCGUAAACGUUGGGAACUAGUUGUGGGGUCCUUUCCACGGAUUCCGUGACGCAGCUAACGCAUUAAGUUCCCCGCCUGGGGAGUACGGCCGCAAGGCUAAAACUCAAAGGAAUUGACGGGGACCCGCACAAGCGGCGGAGCAUGCGGAUUAAUUCGAUGCAACGCGAAGAACCUUACCAAGGCUUGACAUAUACGAGAACGGGCCAGAAAUGGUCAACUCUUUGGACACUCGUAGACAGGUGGUGCAUGGUUGUCGUCAGCUCGUGUCGUGAGAUGUUGGGUUAAGUCCCGCAACGAGCGCAACCCUCGUUCUAUGUUGCCAGCACGUAAUGGUGGGAACUCAUGGGAUACUGCCGGGGUCAACUCGGAGGAAGGUGGGGAUGACGUCAAAUCAUCAUGCCCCUUAUGUCUUGGGCUUCACGCAUGCUACAAUGGCCGGUACAAAGGGCUGCAAUACCGUAAGGUGGAGCGAAUCCCAAAAAGCCGGUCCCAGUUCGGAUUGAGGUCUGCAACUCGACCUCAUGAAGUCGGAGUCGCUAGUAAUCGCAGAUCAG